AGCAGCCGCGGUAAUUCCAGCUCCAAUAGCGUAUAUUAAAGUUGUUGCAGUUAAAAAGCUCGUAGUUGAAUUUCGGGAUUGACACAUCGGUCGUGCCUUAAGGGGUAUGAACUGGUGUAGUCAAUUUCUCACCUUCUGGAGAACCGCGAUGCCCUUAAUUGGGUGUCACGGGGAACCAGGACCUUUACUUUGAAAAAUUAGAGUGUUUAAAGCAGGCAUUUUGCUUGAAUACAUUAGCAUGGAAUAAUAAAAUAGGACGGCAUGAUUCUAUUUUGUUGGUUUCUAGGAUCACCGUAAUGAUUAAUAGGGAUAGUUGGGGGCAUUAGUAUUCAAUUGUCAGAGGUGAAAUUCUUGGAUUUAUUGAAGACUAACUACUGCGAAAGCAUUUGCCAAGGAUGUUUUCAUUAAUCAAGAACGAAAGUUAGGGGAUCGAAGACGAUCAGAUACCGUCGUAGUCUUAACCAUAAACUAUGCCGACUAGGAAUCAGAC
rnacentral:rRNA from 1 species